GUUCAUGACUCAGAGGAGUUCAUAAAAGAAGAAGAAUUACCACAUCUUAUGUGCUGUACAAAUAGAUGAAGGUUAAUUAACAGUGUAACUAAAUAGUCAUGCUGCCAGUCUCCUUUGAACAGUU
rnacentral:snoRNA from 1 species